AACAGAGACCUUAUGGUUUACCCCUAAAGAUGCCCCAGAGAUAUCCUGGCCUCAUAAUUUUUUUAUGAAGUUAUUGCCCAAACUGGUUCUUUCAUUUCAAAAUAAACAGGGGGAGGGGGGAAAUCUAACUCUGCUUUCUACCUGUUUGGCUACACUGGCCUUAAAUUUGAAAUUCAGUAUGCAUUUACACUUUAGUGAAACCAUCUGGUUUCUUCCCUAUAAUGAGAAUUUCAAAUUUUAGGGUGAUAUAGCUAAACUGUAAGCAUAGCUUGUUUAGAAAAUGUUUCCAAUUCUGCUAUUUAGGAAUUAAUUUUGAAUUUCCAUUUUAGUGAAUAACCCUGCAACUUAUUUUUCAAUUGCUCCAUUUCCUUUUCGUGAGUAUCUUAUGGUUAGUUGUGGAAAGUCUCACCAGACCUGGACAGAACUGCUUUGAACAUACCAGUUUCUGAUAGAGCCUUUGAAGGUGACAAAUGGGCUGUAAUCGAAAUGGAUCAAAAGUAUAGUGGUAGAUCACAUACAGUAAUGUGAUGCAAGUUAGUGAAAAUGACUGUUAGGUCUAAAAGGUAGUACAACUGUUUGAUUCCAAUUUGGUAACAUAAGCCAGGAGGGGGCAUCAGUUGGCAGUAUUGUUGCCAAUAAUAUGGGACUUAUUACAAUGGUCACUUUUAAAGAAGCACUAAG